AAACUAAUUUAAAAACUAUGUACCCAUAUAGGCCUAUAUCUGGUCUAACAACCAAUGUGUAGAUCUAAAUCAAACCAUUACACAAAAAGACAUUCAAGAAGUAUUAAAUAGGAUAAAUAACAAUAAGAGUGACGAACAGUUCCAAACAUUCGACAAAAUUCAUUCUAACCAAAAAAUCCAUUGUCACAAUGGAUAUUUGAACGACUAUACCGAUUUUUGUGAAUGUGAUCUUGGAUGGGAAAAUGAAAAUAAUAUGGAUUUGGAUGAUUUUAUACCGUCAACUAUACCAUUACAAAUGUGUACGGUUCGUCAGCAAAUUUCUAGAAAUCGCAUCCAGCGUUUAAAACAUAUUACAAUACCAGAAAACUGUACAAUCGUGGAACUUAUUUGUUCAUUGUUCAUUAGCUGUGUGAUUAUAAUAAAUAUUAUUCUGCUACUAUAAAUAUAGUGUAGAAGUUGGUUUAAUAAGUUUAAUUAGUAAAUAGUAAAUAUUUUCAACAGUAUGUGAUUCAUUUAUUGUUAUAAUUUGUACUAGACAUUUCUGUAAAUGUUCUCAGUGUUAUUAAUAAUAAUAAAUCUGUAUCAAUUUGAAAUAAAA